rnacentral:rRNA from 1 species
CCUACGGGUGGCUGCAGUGGGGAAUAUUGGACAAUGGGCGAAAGCCUGAUCCAGCCAUGCCGCGUGUGUGAAGAAGGCCUUCGGGUUGUAAAGCACUUUCAGUGGGGAAGAAAGCCUUGGGGCUAAUACCCUCGAGGAAGGACAUCACCCACAGAAGAAGCACCGGCUAACUCCGUGCCAGCAGCCGCGGUAAUACGGAGGGUGCGAGCGUUAAUCGGAAUUACUGGGCGUAAAGCGCGCGUAGGCGGUCUGAUAAGCCGGUUGUAAAGCCCCGGGCUCAACCUGGGAACGGCAUCCGGAACUGUCAGGCUAGAGUGCAGGGGAGGAAGGUAGAAUUCCCGGUGGAGCGGUGAAAUGCGUAGAGUUCGGGAGGAAUACCAGUGGCGAAGGCGGCCUUCUGGACUGACACUGACGCUGAGGUGCGAAAGCGUGGGUAGCAAACAGGAUUAGAUACCCGAGUAGUC